GCCCAGACUCCUGCGGGAGGCAGCAGUGAGGAAUAUUGGUCAAUGGGCGGAAGCCUGAACCAGCCAAGUCGCGUGAGGGAAGAAGGCCCUGCGGGUCGCAGACCUCUUUGGACGGGGAGCAAGGCCGCCGACGUGUCGGCGGAAGGAGAGUACCCGUAGAACAAGCAUCGGCUAACUCCGUGCCAGCAGCCGCGGUAAUACGGAGGAUGCGAGCGUUAUCCGGAUUUACUGGGUGUAAAGGGAGCGUAGACGGUUAUGCAAGUCUGAAGUGAAAGCCCAAGGCUCAACCAUGGGACUGCUUUGGAAACUGUAAAACUGGAGUGCAGGAGAGGUAAGCGGAAUUCCUAGUGUAGCGGUGAAAUGCGUAGAUAUUAGGAGGAACACCAGUGGCGAAGGCGGCUUACUGGACUGUAACUGACGUUGAGGCUCGAAGGCGUGGGGAGCAAACAGGAUUAGAUACCCUAGUA
rnacentral:rRNA from 1 species